rnacentral:rRNA from 1 species
AUUGAACGCUGGCGGCAGGCCUAACACAUGCAAGUCGAGCGAGCGGCGGACGGGUGAGUAAUGUCUGGGAAACUGCCUGAUGGAGGGGGAUAACUACUGGAAACGGUAGCUAAUACCGCAUACCAUCAGAUGUGCCCAGAUGGGAUUAGCUAGUAGGUGGGGUAACGGCUCACCUAGGCGACGAUCCCUAGCUGGGCUGAGAGGAUGACCAGCAACACUGGAACUGAGACACGGCCCAGACUCCUACGGGAGGCAGCAGUGGGGAAUAGUGCACAAUGGGCGCAAGCCUGAGGCAGCAACGCGGGGUGUGUGAAGAAGUCCUUCGGGUUGUAAAGUACUUUCAGCGGGGAGGCGUUACCCGCAGAAGAAGCACCGGCUAACGCCGUGCCAGCAGCCGCGGUAAUAC